UAGCCUCUAAUAAUGGAUGUGGUUGCUGGU
rnacentral:piRNA from 1 species